UCUACUGCUGUACUUGGUUUGUGAUGCUCUGCAAAGCAGCAUAUUGGAAAGAAGACAGUCAUGGAAUAUUUCACACAGCCUUGUUUGUUCUCUGAAAGUAGGACGAAGGAAACCUGAGCAUUUCACCUGCCGAGGGUUUUUGCCAAGGCAUUCCAGAGAACUAACACAGAAAACACCUGCAGUUCAGGUCUUGGUUGUGUGAUGGAAUCCCAGAACUUGAACUAGUCAAACCAGGCAGAGAUCUGCACUGUUGUGCUACCAGUCUUGGCAAUCUGAUGCUUGCAACAUUUUCUACAAUGGAAAGAAUUCAUCUGAAAGAGAGGGGAGGGACAGCAGGCGAGAAGGAGGCCUCUGAUGUAAUUUCACUGACAGGAAGCCAAGAGGCAGGGAAAUCUUGUUUGAUUUCUUCCUUCCUAUGCCAAGAUUCAGAAGUGCGGCGGUAUGAUGACAAAACAGUUGCCUCCACAAAGUAAAGACAGGGAGAGGCCACAACUAUUUAAACCUACAGGUGAUUAACCCCAGGAGUGACAAUAAAACAUUCUCUGAUCUUUUUUUGCUAAGGGUCACAUUGAUGGUUGGGGAAGUUAUAUAAGCAUUCAUAUGAACUUGUAAACUCUGAAGUCAGUGACCCUGAUGUGUAUUUUUAGAAUGAUUGCUGUUUAUUCUAGUAAUGAACAUUUCCCCUUUAUUUACUAUUUCAGGUUUUUCUCCAUCCUGUUUACCUCCAGACCGUCCCCAUAAUAUUUAUGAACUCUUGCAAGAACUUUGCUUUUUUCACUUAUGGUACUUAUCAUUUUUAUUCUUGUUAUGUAUCUUGACACAAACCUAUGGCAAUCCUGUCACAGGGUUUUCUUGGUGAGAUUCAUUCAGAAAAGUUCUGUGAUCACUUUCCUCUAAGGACCUCAUCACACGAUGGAAAUUCAGUGUCCUAAGACAGUUCUGCCCAGUUGACCCACGGAGCCCCACGGAGACGCACAUCACACAUCCUAGCCUCACUUUCGGCAGGGUUCUGUGGGUCAACUGAGGCAGAAGCAUUGUAGGAAGAUGUGCUGCCAACACGGUAGUCUCCCUGGGUUCCACUUGGAACAAUGGGGCUAGCGUGGGGGGAAGGCACAUGGCAAUGCUUCCCCAUAUCUGGGGAAGUCAGCUGGCAGUGUGGUGCAGCACAAGGUGCUGGGAUUGCCCCACUGCUCCCCAAGUUACCAUGGAGGCUGGCAAAUCAAAAUGCUGGACCUCAUCAAUGUGAUGAGGUCCUGAGACUGUAACUUGGUCAAGUAGGGAGUUGAACCCUAGGACUCUAUGUAGUCUAGCACUCAGAUCACUACACCACACUGGCACGCCUUAAGGCUCUUUUGAGUGAAAUGCUUCCCAUUAUAUCUGCUGGUGUCCAUCUACUGUACUAGUUGAAUUACCCAAAGUUUAGAAAAUGUUUGCAUUAUAGUUCUUAUUAGCUGUGCCCAGCCACGCGUUGCUGUGGUGAAGUAUGGUGGUAUGGGAAAUAAAGUAUUGAGGAAUUGGUGGUAGUUAAGGUAAAGGUGUGGAGUCCAGAUAAUCCAGUUAAAGCAGAUAAUAUAAGAUUAUAAAUGGGUUAUAUAGCUGUGUGGAAGGGCCUUGAGUCUACACUGCCAUCUAAUCCAGUUAAAAUCUGAUAAUCUGUAUUUUAUAGGCAGUGUCCCUAAGUGAGGCCAACUCUGCCUGCCCCCUGGGUGAGUGGGUUGCUAGGAGACCAAGUGGGCGGAGCUUAGCCUUCUAACUGGCAGCAAUUGGAUAAAAACAAUUAUUCCUCUCCCUCUAUAGGAUUUUAUUUUUCUUUUCUUUUUGUUGUAUCAACCUAGAGGCGUGGAUGAUGGGUUGUGUUGUCAAUUUUCGGGGUUGUGGGGUGUUUAGUUUUGUUGUUAUGGCGGUCGCCAGGAUUCCAUCACUCUUUUAUAUAUAUAGAUAA